UACGUAGGGUGCAAGCGUUAUCCGGAAUUAUUGGGCGUAAAGAGCUCGUAGGCGGUUUGUCGCGUCUGCCGUGAAAGUCCGGGGCUCAACUCCGGAUCUGCGGUGGGUACGGGCAGUCUAGAGUGCAGUAGGGGAGACUGGAAUUCCUGGUGUAGCGGUGAAAUGCGCAGAUAUCAGGAGGAACACCGAUGGCGAAGGCAGGUCUCUGGGCUGUAACUGACGCUGAGGAGCGAAAGCAUGGGGAGCGAACAGG
rnacentral:rRNA from 1 species